AAGAGUACUUUAAAAAAGUGCCACUUGGUUUUUUUGGGAGAUAAAAGAACAGGGUCUUUCAUUCUUAGCUGCUUUCAUGCAUGUAAGGCAGAAAUGAGAGCAGAGGCUGGGAGUUGGAUUCAAAAUGAAAUUUCUGCCCCCAUUUGGGAGAAAAAGCCGUGCAGUUGGGUGCCUUGGGCAGCUCUGCUUGGAUCAAGCAUAGAUGUGAAUAUCUGAGGGCAGAAUUUCCCCUGUUGAUUUUUAUAGAUUUACUGCAGUAUCCCCUUUGCUGUUGCAGAGGGCAGAAAUCAUUCCUGUUCUCAUAGUCCAGGAGCAGGCUCAACGUGCAGAUCCCAAGGGCAUCAGAUCCUUAGCUGGUAUUAGAGAGCAGAUAGUGUUCAUGAUGCAUGGAAAAUUCUGUGGCUUCAAAAUCUAUGCCAGGUUUACAAAGUCUAUGUAUGUCAACAGAUGUUAAGAAUAUAAACACAACUUUUAUUAUAAAGUUGUGCAAAUGUGUAGACAUGAGCUUGGUUUAUGUAUAUUAUUUUCAGCAUGAGAAUGAAAUGAAACUUCUGUGAAACAAGAA